rnacentral:rRNA from 1 species
UGGGGAAUAUUGGACAAUGGGCGAAAGCCUGAUCCAGCCAUGCCGCGUGUGUGAAGAAGGUCUUCGGAUUGUAAAGCACUUUAAGUUGGGAGGAAGGGCAUUAACCUAAUACGUUAGUGUUUUGACGUUACCGACAGAAUAAGCACCGGCUAACUCUGUGCCAGCAGCCGCGGUAAUACAGAGGGUGCAAGCGUUAAUCGGAAUUACUGGGCGUAAAGCGCGCGUAGGUUGGUUGUUAAGUUGGAUGUGAAAUCCCCGGGCUCAACCUGGGAACUGCAUUCAAAACUGACUGACUAGAGUAUGGUAGAGGGUGGUGGAAUUUCCUGUGUAGCGGUGAAAUGCGUAGAUAUAGGAAGGAACACCAGUGGCGAAGGCGACCACCUGGACUAAUACUGACACUGAGGUGCGAAAGCGUGGGGAGCAAACA